UACGAAGGGGGCUAGCGUUGCUCGGAAUUACUGGGCGUAAAGGGCGCGUAGGCGGCGUCGGUAGUCAGGCGUGAAAUCCCUGGGCUCAACCUGGGGGCUGCGCUUGAUACGCCGAUGCUAGAGGACGGAAGAGGCUCGCGGAAUUCCCAGUGUAGAGGUGAAAUUCGUAGAUAUUGGGAAGAACACCGGUGGCGAAGGCGGCGAGCUGGUCCGUUUCUGACGCUGAGGCGCGACAGCGUGGGGAG
rnacentral:rRNA from 1 species